GCUCACUGCAGCCUCAACCUCCUGGGUUCAAGCCAUCCUCUUGCCUGAGCCUCCUGAGUAGGGGAAACUACAGGUGUGUGCCACCACCACACCCAACUAAUUUUAAAAUUAUUUGUAGAGAGAGGGCUUCCCUGUGUUGCUCAGGCUGGUCUCAAACUCCUGGACUCAAGUGAUCCUUCUGCCUUGACCUACCAAAGUGCUGGGAUAAGAGGCCCCAGAUGCUUUAAACUGACAGGUAAGGUCAUUUGUGGUCUGGCCAACUCAUGCCUGCUCCCCACCUGCAGCUCCAAACUCUGGUCCUCACAAGUGCCUUUAGCUCACCCAAUGUUUCCUGCUGUCUUGAUUGCCUUUAGUCCUUCACACAACGAGGCAAUGUCCUUAGUUUCUCUGAUCCCCAUUUCACCUAGGUCAUUCCUUCAGGUCUCAGCUGACUGUCUUCAUCUUGCCGUCGCCAACCUCCCCAGAGAAGGCUGGAUGCCCCUGUGCUGGCCCCUGCCUAGGUCAUUGCGACGCGCUUUGAGCCCAGCACAACACACAGCACUCAGUGCACUGGUGAACACAGGGGUCCAGAAGAGAUGAAAGGACCUAACAGCAGCCAGCAGAAAAGCAGAGGAAGGAGGAGAGAGAAAGCCUGAGAGUCAGAGAGGGGUGAAAGGGUGUGAUCCUGAGUAGAUGACAGGGCACAGAUGGGAGCUAUGAGCUGUGUGUGACACACGCUGGGUCCCUGUGGCAGAUGCAAGUGAUCCAUCUGUAGCUUAUUCUUAGGAAGUGUGAAAUCAGUGUCAGGAGAGAAGGGAGCUGAAGCUAGCAACUGAAGAGUCAGCCUGGGAGAGGACGGAGAGAGAACAUGCAGAGGAGAGGGAGCAAGCAGGAGGGGUUACAGGACCAGGACAAGGGCAGCAGUUUU
rnacentral:lncRNA from 1 species